AUGCAAUUCAAUCCAAAUAAAACGUGUGCAAUUCAAGCACCCACUUUCAGCAUUCCAUUUCUUGUUAUCACACAAGGCAUUAAUGGGUUCCAGCACCCUCUGUGUACACCAAGCAAAAAUGCAGUGUUGAUCUCUGAGAGCAGGCACUCCCAGGCUCAUCGGCAAGGGUAUCUGCUGGAGUGGCUAUGGGAGUACAUUCCCAAAUGGAAAAGUCAAGGAAUGCUUAGAGGGCCAUCUCUCACACUGAAACCAACUUUGCACAGUUGUGAAUCCAGGAGAGAGAGUAUUUCUUCAAGCACUCAAGACAAUUCUAAAAAAUCUGUGAACCAGGGCCGGCACUGUGGCAUAGCGGGUAAAGCCCAUGUGGGCGCCAGUUCGAGUCCCAGCUGUUCCACUUCUGAUCCAGCUCUCUGCUAUGGCCUGGGAAAGAAUUAG
rnacentral:lncRNA from 1 species